rnacentral:rRNA from 1 species
CCUACGGGGGGCAGCAGUGAGGAAUAUUGGUCAAUGGGCGCGAGCCUGAACCAGCCAAGUAGCGUGAAGGAUGACUGCCCUACGGGUUGUAAACUUCUUUUAUAAAGGAAUAAAGUGAGGCACGUAUGCCUUUUUGUAUGUACUAUAUGAAUAAGGAUCGGCUAACUCCGUGCCAGCAGCCGCGGUAAUACGGAGGAUCCGAGCGUUAUCCGGAUUUAUUGGGUUUAAAGGGAGCGUAGAUGGGUUGUUAAGUCAGUUGUGAAAGUUUGCGGCUCAACCGUAAAAUUGCAUUUGAAACUGGCAGUCUAGAGUACAGUAGAGGUAGGCGGAAUUCGUGGUGUAGCGGUGAAAUGCUUAGAUAUCACGAAGAACACCGAUUGCGAAGGCAGCUUACUAGACUGCCACUGACACUGAUGCUCGAAAGUGUGGGUAUCAAACAGGAUUAGAUACCCUAGUAGUC